rnacentral:rRNA from 1 species
AUUGAACGCUGGCGGCAGGCCUAACACAUGCAAGUCGAACGGUAACAGGAAACAGCUUGCUGUUUCGCUGACGAGUGGCGGACGGGUGAGUAAUGUCUGGGAAACUGCCUGAUGGAGGGGGAUAACUACUGGAAACGGUAGCUAAUACCGCAUAACGUCGCAAGCCCAAAGAGGGGGACCCUCGGGCCUCUUGCCAUCGGCUGUGCCCAGAUGGGAUUAGCUUGUUGGUGGGGUAACGGCUCACCAAGGCGACGAUCCCUAGCUGGUCUGAGAGGAUGACCAGCCACACUGGAACUGAGACACGGUCCAGACUCCUACGGGAGGCAGCAGUGGGGAAUAUUGCACAAUGGGCGCAAGCCUGAUGCAGCCAUGCCGCGUGUAUGAAGAAGGCCUUCGGGUUGUAAAGUACUUUCAGCGGGGAGGAAGGGAGUAAAGUUAAUACCUUUGCUAAUUGACGUUACCCGCAGAAGAAGCACCGGCUAACUCCGUG